rnacentral:rRNA from 1 species
UACGGGGGGGGCAAGCGUUGUUCGGAAUUACUGGGCGUAAAGGGCUCGUAGGCGGCCAACUAAGUCGGAUGUGAAAUCCCCAGGCUUAACUUGGGAACUGCAUCCGAUACUGGAUGGCUUGAAUCCGGGAGAGGGAUGCGGAAUUCCAGGUGUAGCGGUGAAAUGCGUAGAUAUCUGGAGGAACACCGGUGGCGAAGGCGGCAUCCUGGACCGGCAUUGACGCUGAUGAGCGAAAGCCAGGGGAGCAAACAGG